rnacentral:tRNA from 1 species
CAGAACAUAGCUAAAACAUAGCGCUUCCUUUACACUGAAGAGUUCCCCGCGCAAAUCAGGUUGUUCUGA